rnacentral:lncRNA from 1 species
GAACCACAAGUCUGACAAGAACUUAGGGGAUUCCAUCCUGUGUUUAAGAUAGCUAGGCUGCUGGACCUGACCUGAGAGCAUGACAGGUUGAGAAGAACAAUCCACUGCAACGGCACUUUCCAUGUUGGCCUUGUUCGAAGCCUCAUAUAUAGUGACCAACCAAAUUGACCAAAAAAGAAAGCAAAUCACUUGCAGAGCGUGACAAGGGGUUACAUUUUGCAAACUAUGAAGAACGGGACACAGCUCAGAGUUCAUUGGAAAAUGUACAAAAAGUAUUAAAAACAGUCAUAUCGAUCUAUACAAAAC